CCUGUGUGACUGCGUACCUUUUGUAUAAUGGGUCAGCGACUUAUAUUCUGUAGCAAGGUUAACCGAAUAGGGGAGCCGGAGGGAAACCGAGUCUUAAUUGGGCGUUAAGUUGCAGGGUAUAGACCCGAAACCCGGUGAUCUAGCCAUGGGCAGGUUGAAGGUUGGGUAACACUAACUGGAGGACCGAACCGACUAAUGUUGAAAAAUUAGCGGAUGACCUGUGGCUGGGGGUGAAAGGCCAAUCAAACCGGGAGAUAGCUGGUUCUCCCCGAAAGCUAUUUAGGUAGCGCCUCGUGAAUUCAUCUCCGGGGGUAGAGCACUGUUUCGGCUAGGGGGCCAUCCCGGCUUACCAACCCGAUGCAAACUGCGAAUACCGGAGAAUGUUAUCACGGGAGACACACGGCGGGUGCUAACGUCCGUCGUGAAGAGGGAAACAACCCAGACCGCCAGCUAAGGUCCCAAAGUCAUGGUUAAGUGGGAAACGAUGUGGGAAGGCCCAGACAGCCAGGAUGUUGGCUUAGAAGCAGCCAUCAUUUAAAGAAAGCGUAAUAGCUCACUGGUCGAGUCGGCCUGCGCGGAAGAUGUAACGGGGCUAAACCAUGCACCGAAGCUGCGGCAGCGAACGUAUCACCCAAGACAACUUUACGGAGUUGACGAUUGACGGAGCGAAGCGACGUCAAAGCGUUCAUUAAAGUCGAGUUGGCUUAGGGAUACGUUCGUUGGGUAGGGGAGCGUUCUGUAAGCCUGUGAAGGUGUGUCGUGAGGCAUGCUGGAGGUAUCAGAAGUGCGAAUGCUGACAUAAGUAACGAUAAAGCGGGUGAAAAGCCCGCUCGCCGGAAGACCAAGGGUUCCUGUCCAACGUUAAUCGGGGCAGGGUGAGUCGACCCCUAAGGCGAGGCCGAAAGGCGUAGUCGAUGGGAAACGGGUUAAUAUUCCCGUACUUGGUGUUACUGCGAAGGGGGGACGGAGAAGGCUAUGUUGGCC
rnacentral:rRNA from 1 species